rnacentral:tRNA from 1 species
AGGUUAUAUUGGAUUAAGGUGGGUUUUGAAAACCCACUAUGAGUGUUCGAUUCACUUAUGAUCUU